rnacentral:rRNA from 1 species
UGCCAUCAGCCGCGGUAAUACGUAGGGGGCAAGCGUUGUCCGGAUUUACUGGGUGUAAAGGGCGCGCAGGCGGAUUUGUCAGUCAGGGGUGAAAUCCUACAGCUUAACUGUAGAACUGCCUUUGAUACUGCAAAUCUUGAGUUCGGAAGGGAGAGGCGGAAUUCCAGGUGUAGUGGUGAAAUACGUAGAUAUCUGGAAGAACACCAGAGGCGAAGGCAUCUCUCUGGGCCGAUAUUGACGCUGAGUCGCGAAGGCGUGGGUAGCGAACGGGAUUAGAUA